GAUGAACGCUGGCGGCGUGCCUAAUACAUGCAAGUCGAGCGAACAGACGAGGAGCUUGCUCCUCUGACGUUAGCGGCGGACGGGUGAGUAACACGUGGAUAACCUACCUAUAAGACUGGGAUAACUUCGGGAAACCGGAGCUAAUACCGGAUAAUAUAUUGAACCGCAUGGUUCAAUAGUGAAAGACGGUUUUGCUGUCACUUAUAGAUGGAUCCGCGCCGCAUUAGCUAGUUGGUAAGGUAACGGCUUACCAAGGCAACGAUGCGUAGCCGACCUGAGAGGGUGAUCGGCCACACUGGAACAUAGACACGGUCCAGAGUCCUACGGGAGGCAGCAGUAGGGAAUCUUCCGCAAUGGGCGAAAGCCUGACGGAGCAACGCCGCGUGAGUGAUGAAGGUCUUCGGAUCGUAAAACUCUGUUAUUAGGGAAGAACAAAUGUGUAAGUAACUAUGCACGUCUUGACGGUACCUAAUCAGAAAGCCACGGCUAACUACGUG
rnacentral:rRNA from 1 species